rnacentral:rRNA from 1 species
UACGUAGGGGGCAAGCGUUGUCCGGAAUCAUUGGGCGUAAAGAGCGUGUAGGCGGCCCGGUAAGUCCGCUGUGAAAGUCGGGGGCUCAACCCUCGAAUGCCGGUGGAUACUGUCGGGCUAGAGUGCGGAAGAGGCGAGUGGAAUUCCUGGUGUAGCGGUGAAAUGCGUAGAUAUCUGGAGGAACACCGGUGGCGAAGGCGGCGUUCUGGACUGCUACUGACACUGAGGAACGAAAGCCAGGGGAGCAAACGGG